GAGCUCUUGGGCUUGCGACACGUGGCUCGGCAUGAUCCAACGGCUAUGAGCGCUUCCCUUGUUGGAUCUCCAUUUUUCAGGGUUCGGGUCUAAACCCAAGUAUUCCUCCCCAUUCAAACCCCUGUUAUUUCUUCCUCCUCCCGCUUCUUAAUUUCUUUUCGCUUUAUUCUAACUUCGAUACUCUCUCUCUUCUCCUCCCUUUCUCAUUUAUCUCUCAGUUCGCCUCCCAUCAAAUCGAUUCUGAAAUCGGUUCUGAAAUUCUAAUCGCUUCUCUCUUCUAGCUCUUAGACAUGGCUGCAACUCUGCUCUGAAACACGGCUUGCCAAUCUCCUUUACCACAGGGCACGCAGACUCAGUUGUCUCUGUUCUCUUUAUAACUGACGAUUUAUUUCUCUCAUCUGAGUUCUGAUCUCUGAUCUUUGAUUUCUGAAACGAAGGUCGGCAUCGCAGAUCUCUGUCCAAUUUUAGCAAGAAGAAAUUAAACAAAGGACACGGCUGCAAAUCCGUUUUAGCAAAUCGGUUCUGAAAUACGGCUCACAAAAGGAUCAGAGAACCAAUUUCUGUUAUUUCUUCCUGCUCUCUCUAUUCCGACUCUGUUUUGGCAUCGAUACAUCACUUGCUCACAAAAGGAUCAGAGGACCAAUUUCUAAACACAGUUUAGAAGACUCUUAGGGCCUUUCUAAUUUCAAUUUACUUUCAAGUUUUGGAGGCAUUGCUGAACAAUUCUUCUCUGCAGUAAUGUAUAUUUGGCCGCCUUCUCUGCAGUAAAGCUAUGUGAACUCAUCUUCGGAACCUAUUCCGUAAUUUCUGUCUCUGUAUCAAGGAAAGAAGAAGUUGGAAAUUUUCCUUUUUUGAAUGUGAAUGGACAAGCAUCAUCUGCAUCCAUUCAGGUGGGUUGUCACAAUGCUGCUGUCCAUCCUGAUUCCAUGACGCAGGAAUAUCAUUCUAUGUGCAGGAGGCAGUAAUGUAUCUUAUCUUCAAUUGGAGGCAUUGCUUGCUGAAAAAUCCAGGUUAGCACAAACCUGAGGAGGGAGAACUAGUGCCUUCACCAGCUAGUGGGGUACCACCAACAGACUUCUCAACAUCUCUUGAUUUGUGCAACUCUGAAGAAGAAUUGUAGAUCAAGUAUCACCCUUUUUUAUUUGAGACAGGUUGUAAAAUUGAAAUUCAUCUGUCACCAGCUAGUGGGGUACCACCAACAGACUUCUCAACAUCUCUUGAUUUGUGCAACUCUGAAGAAGAAUUGUAGAUCAAGUAUCACCCUUUUUUAUUUGAGACAGGUUGUAAAAUUGAAAUUCAUCUGUGGUUGAUGCUUGAUGGUUACUAAUAAAAAAACAGCCCUUUUGGUUA